UCACACCCGAUCCCAUUCCGAACUCGGAAGUUAAGCUCUUCGGAGCCGAUGGUACUGCUGGGGAGACUCAGUGGGAGAGUAGGACGCCGCCGGGA
rnacentral:rRNA from 1 species